rnacentral:rRNA from 1 species
UUGAAAAGAACUUUGAAGAGAGAGUUCAAGAGUACGUGAAACCGUUCAGGGGUAAACCUAAGAGACCCAAAAGAUCGAACGGGGAGAUUCAUCGUCGGCGACGCUGGCUUCGCGUCGGUGGGCGAUGUCCCGCGGGGCCUCGCGGCCCGCGCGCGGACACGCCGCCGCGCGUCGAUGCCCGGCGUCCGUCGUCGUGCACUUCUCCCCCGGUAGAACGUCGCGACCCGCUGGGUGUCGGUCUACGGCCCGGGUGCGGUGUCUGCGGUGUCGCCGCCAAAAACGGCGCGCCGUCAAACCCCCGGUCGCCCGGCCGGCUGCCCGGCGGUACGCGCAAGGUAUCAGGCCGCACCGUCGUUCGUCGCGCGUGCGCGCGCGCCGGCUCGUUCGCGAGUCGCGCGCCGCGCCGCGCGCGCGACGCCCGUGUGCGUCGAGCCCGUCGCAAGCGCGCGCCACGGUAAAAUCCACGGAGGCUUAACGGACCUAGCGCCGUCCCCGUGCCUGGCCCGCUGUUCGCUCGUACGGCUAACCUUCGACAGGCCCGCGAACGUUCCUCGCGCGCGCGCGCUCCCCCCGGGGCCGUCGCGCGCGGGGUUCCGAUACCGGUCGGCGACGCUACUGCUUUGGGUGCUCCUAGGACCCGUCUUGAAACACGGACCAAGGAGUCUAACAUGUACGCGAGUCACAGGGACUCGGCGAGAUGCCCAAGGGCGAAAUGAAAGUGAAGGUCGGCCCCGGUCGUCGACCGAGGGAGGAUGGGCCGCGCCGCGCGCGCGGCCCCGCACUCCCGGGGCGUCUCGUUCUCAUCGCGAGAAGAGGCGCACCCAGAGCGUACACGUUGGGACCCGAAAGAUGGUGAACUAUGCCUGGUCAGGACGAAGUCAGGGGAAACCCUGAUGGAGGUCCGUAGCGAUUCUGACGUGCAAAUCGAUCGUCGGAACUGGGUAUAGGGGCGAAAGACUAAUCGAACCAUCUAGUAGCUGGUUCCCUCCGAAGUUUCCCUCAGGAUAGCUGGCACUCGGCCGUUCCGCACGGAACGCGCGCGAGUCUCAUCUGGUAAAGCGAAUGAUUAGAGGCCUUGGGGCCGAAACGACCUCAACCUAUUCUCAAACUUUAAAUGGGUGAGAUCUCUGGCUUUCUUGAAUUGUGAAGCCACGAGCUCUCUCUCGGAUCAGAGUGCCAAGUGGGCCAUUUUUGGUAAGCAGAACUGGCGCUGUGGGAUGAACCAAACGCGGAGUUAAGGCGCCCAACUCGACGCUCAUGGGACACCAUGAAAGGCGUUGGUUGCUUAAGACAGCAGGACGGUGGCCAUGGAAGUCGGAAUCCGCUAAGGAGUGUGUAACAACUCACCUGCCGAAGCAACUAGCCCUGAAAAUGGAUGGCGCUGAAGCGUCGAGCCUAUACUCCGCCGUCAGCGGCAAGUGGGGCCGGCGCGCCGGGCGACGCGCGCGACACGUCGUGCGCGGGGCCCGCGCGCCGCCACGAAGCCCUGACGAGUAGGAGGGUCGCGGCGGUGUGCGCAGAAGGGUCU